rnacentral:misc_RNA from 1 species
UCUCCGUUGGUGAACCAGCGGAGGGAUCAUUACCGAGUUUACAACUCCCAAACCCCUGUGAACAUACCAUUUGUUGCCUCGGCGGUGCCUGCUUCGGCAGCCCGCCAGAGGAUCCAAACCCUUGAUUUUAUACAGUAUCUUCUGAGUAAAUGAUUAAAUAAAUCAAAACUUUCAACAACGGAUCUCUUGGUUCUG